GGGAGCACCGGGACGGGAAUGCUCGGGGCACCCUGACGGGAAUCCAGCUCUUCCUUGCAUGAUCCCAUUGCUGUCAUCAUCAGCUGUGUUCGGGUGAAACCACAAACAGGAUCUGCAGUGUCCUCAUGAAGGUUUGAAAUGCAGCCUGAUCUUUCAAAACAGCUCAAGUUUGGUUAAACCCACAGAGGUCCAAGGUGUUCUGUGCCUGCAUUCUGCCUGACUUUGGCUGGAACCUUUGCUGAUGAUUGUGACUGAGUUCUGAGCAAGAUGAAGAGGAAGGAGGAACAAGAGAAACAUCUUUGAACAGUGGUGACAAAAUCCAGGUCCUGUUCUCAGUAACGUUGUGUGAUCCCAAUGUUUCACUGGUUCAUGGCAGCUCUGAA